GGGAGAAAAGAAGGGAGGAAGGAGGAGGAGGAGGAAAGAAGGGAGGAAAGAGGAGGUGGAGAAGGAGGAAGAGGAGAUGGAGGAAAAGAGAGAAGGGCGGGAGAUCCAGGGAAAAAGGACAGGCAGAACAGAGAGUACAAAAUUAUAUACAUAUUUGUAUAGUAAAAGGCCGUAUUUACAUCCGCACCGACCUGGGGUAGCAAAGAGCGCAGCCAUUUUCUACAUCCGAGAGCACAUACUUCACUGUGACGUAGGGCGAGACGCGUCGGUCGCAAAGCGCAGGCUGAUCAGCUUCGGCUUUUUCCGUCAUUCUACGGUUGGUUCUCUAAAGAACUGACAGCUCAUUGGAGAGCUGAUCGUAGCAGUUCGGUUAUUAAACAAAGACAACUAUUUGAGUUUACCUAAAAGAAAGAAACAAAGAUAUAUAUCCAUAUAUCAGCAGUGUAUCUUUAAUUCUCGUUACCCGGAAAUAUCUUUAAUAUGAUCGAGUAGUAAUAAUUGAAUUAAAAGAAAUAUGAGUUGGAAUAAAUAUGAAGUACAAAAUACAAUUAAUCAAUGAAAAUUAUAAAUAUCGAUAUAACGCUCAAAUCAUUCUAUCAUAUGUUACAUACUAUCAUAUGUAAGUACGAGCCAAUAUAUCUUGUUUUCAGUUUUAAUGAUAUACUUUUUUAUCGUUAUAAAAAUGUAAUAAUUUACAUUUUAAAAAAUUAAUAGUUAAUUUAUUUUUUAUUUGAUCAUUUAAAAUUAAUAUAUAUUGCACCAAAAAUUACUUAUUGACCAAAAUAUAUAUUUGUAUAUAUUUUAUUCAAUAUCUUGUUUAAUUAAUUUUUUUAUUAUAUCAUUAAAUCUUAUUAUACAUUAUAAUCUUAUUAUAAUCUUAUUUUUAUGUUAUUCUUUAUACUUUUGAAAUAAUAUUAUAAAUUUUUUGCAAUAUAAUUAUUAAUAUUUCAUAUUUAAAGUUACGUACCUGUAUUGUCAUUGCAACUAGUAGGGAGCAUGCGACGGCGCCCUAUGGGCGCCGUUAUGCCGCGACGAAUGUAGUUUCAAAGAUGUUUCUUCUUAUUCAUUCUUCUUUUUCUUUUCGUCGAUUACAUGUUUAUAGUUCUGAUACUUCGAAGAAAAAAUUUAAAGUAACGAAUGAACAAUAAUCUAUUAAAAAGGUGUGUAAUUUAUGUAUUUUACACUAAUAAAAAUCUGUAUUUAUAAUUUUUUUGUCAUUGAUUAAUUAUUAUAAAAGAACAAUUAAAAUUAGAGACUGUAAACAUUAUUCAAAAAACCAUUCAUAUAUCAUAUCCGUAUAGAUGUAAUAUAAGUUUUUAAAAAAAUUGAUAAUAUUUCAUAAAUUUUUAUAAAUUUUCAAAUUUGCAAACAAAAAUAUUAUUUCGAUAAUAAAAUAAAAUAUAUAAUAUUAUAUAUUAUAGUUAUAAAUAUUUAAUAUAUUAUAUUAAGUAUUGUAUAAUUAAUAUAAAUUUUUAUUGAUGAAAUUUAAUAAUAGAAUUUUAUUUAUUUUAUGAUAAAAUUAUAAUAUUUAAAAUAUACUUCAUAUAUAUUGUAUUUAAAAUAAAAUAUAAUAUAUUUAAAAUAUACACAAAUAAGGAUUCUGAAAAUUCAUUUAUAUUGUCUAUAAAAUUCAUUUGUAUGCAUAAACACAUAAUUUAUGUAAAUAUCGAUCUAUUAAUAUAUUAAUAAAAUUUGUGUGAAAAAAAUUGAAAGGAAAAAGAAAAAGAAAAA